ACUCCUACGGGAGGCAGCAGUGGGGAAUAUUGCACAAUGGGCGCAAGCCUGAUGCAGCCAUGCCGCGUGUAUGAAGAAGGCCUUCGGGUUGUAAAGUACUUUCAGCAGUGAGGAAGGUGGGAUAUGUUAAUUAAGCAUGCAUUCAUUUUGACGUUAGCUGCAGAAGAAGCACCGGCUAACUCCGUGCCAGCAGCCGCGGUAAUACGGAGGGUGCGAGCGUUAAUCGGAAUUACUGGGCGUAAAGCG
rnacentral:rRNA from 1 species